UUGGCUAGUUUCUUUCUUGAAUAAAUCUAUGAUCGUCGUCUUAUGCCAAGUAGGUGAAACUUUGCUUAUGUUGCAUUCUACUACCCCUGGAGAUUUUAGCAGAGAUUUGCCAGGGGUUACAGUUGCCCCUCUCCAGAGCCAUAACCACCUUCAACAGUGAGUAGGACACAUGUGACUCAAUACUAUAGUAGUUGAUGAAUAUGGGUUUUUCAAUGAUCAGUUAAACUUUUAAGUUUGGUCACACCCUUGCCCCCUUUCCCUUCAGUUUCGGGCUACUUUACAUGGUUUGGUCUGCACAGUGUAGGAAACAGAACAAUGAGCCAAAUAGAAGGAGGACAGGAAAAAAAUCAAUACUUUGCAUGUCCAGUGGUGUAUACGGAUAACAAAUGGAGCAACAGAAGAUGCCAAGAUCAGUUGGCCAAUGUAGAGAGAGAUAGAGAGAAGAAUGAAACAAGAAUAAAAAAUGCAGGGAAUGAGUUGGGAAAAGAGUCGGGACCCCACUCUCUGCUUCCUCUUCCCUUUGUUUUUCCCUUUUUCUUUUCUUGUGAACUGUAGCGUGUUCUUCAGUUUGCAUUGUUAUUUCCUGACAACCUGCUGACACUCAUCCACCAACUCCCUGAAAUUCUUUUAGCCUCUCCCACAGUCAUUCGUUCUUGGUUUCACAUCCAUAUUUCUGGCCCACAUCCUUUCAUAUCGUAUUGUAUAGUUACAAUUUAUUACUUUCUACACAAGUUAAAAGAGUCUGGGAAGGAAAAGAAGAGAGAAAAGAAGGGCGUCGGGAUGAGAUUUGUGGCUGUGGUCAUUCCAGUAGCUCUUGUCCCACCUGCCAUCCGUCCAUGAUGGAGGGGGUGAAAGAGGAGUAGAGUGGGGAGCUGCAUCUCUCUUUCCCUCGGCUAACUCACCCUGACAGGCGGGAACGCAGACUGCAGAGAGGAGGAGGAGGAGGACGACAAGGAGGGGCCUCAGCCCCCACCCUCCAAUCAGAUGCUCCCUUCGCUCUCAGCCAGUGGCAGCAGGGCAAAAACAGUAGCAGGGCUAAAGCUAGUGGUCCUCUCUUUUCCUCUCCUCUUCUGCCUUCUCUUUUCCUAACACUCUAGGCAUGGAGUAUUAUUCCUCCAUCUCCUGGGCGUCACGCCUCUCUCCUCCACCCUGGCUGACCACUGCAGUGCAUCCACGAGGUACUCUCUCCCUUUCUUUCUGAUAUUCUUUCUCUCUUCCUUUGGCUCUCUCUCACGUACAUUCUAUUUGGCUUGUUGCUAUCGUAGACUGUUCAAAAUAACUUUUUGGUCAAUGCAAUGCCAUGGGUGAGCCUACUGUGUUUGUCCUAACGAAACGACCUGUUAAUGUUGGAAAGGACUAUGUGAUUAAUUGCAAAAAAAGAAAGAUCUUCGGCUCACUUUUAACUCAACUGAUUAUCCUAAACGUUGCUCUCAUGGGUUAAGUUCUGCCUUGCAUGUUUUAUGCACUGCAUUGCUUUCUGGGUUGUAAAGUAGUAAACAACCAUUUAUGUAUUGACCCCACCAUGAACAAGCAGGUGCUGUGGUGCAAAAUAUUCCCUCUCUUCAUACUUUGUAACUUGAGGGAAUGCAAUUGCACAACUUUUCUUUUUCUAUUUCAAUGCGUAUUUAUGAUUUUAACAUAUUUGACUGCAUAUUUGACGCCUGUUAUGCAUUCCAAAGAAAAAAAAAAACGUCUCUGUCUGUUGUGAUAGCUAUAGAAAUGCGCAUGAAAUAAAGCAGAACAGCAUUAUGCAAAUAUAUAUUCACAAAUGCAUUUUCUGCACUUAUUUUUCAACAGAGAAUAAAUGGAUGAGCUUUUUAGGGAUUUUACCAUCUCUGCAAAAACAAAAUUCAGUUUUGAUGUCCAGAUUUUCGUUUAGAGCAGCAUGGCACACUUAUGCAUGGCCUCUCAAAUGGAGAACACAUUUCCAGGCUAUACAUUUCUAAAACCAGUGUGUCCACCCCCUCUUCUGUCUCUUGUAUUGAUUGGUUAAUGGCAUUAUUUGUGGAGUGUGCCUUUCUGGACGUAAGCCCUUUUUGGCCCCCUCGCUGUAUUUGUGUAUGUGUGUUUGUUCAACAGAAGGCCACUGAGGCCUGACCGAUGGUCAUCUUUCAGCGUUAUCUGCUUUCACACCAAAGGUCAGGGGGGGGUCAUAAGAAGUCAGAGGGUAAUAAGUUUAACCCUGAUAGGGCCAAGGUCACUCAUAGCGUGACUCCAAUGAAAAACAAAAUCAAUACUCCCCUCACACCAUCCUUUUCCUCAAAUUCUGAGCAUGACUCUUUCCUUAUUCUUAAAAAGUGAUGAGCAAGCAUCUCAUAUCACCAUGCGCAGAACUAAAGGUGUUACAAAUGUUCAUUGAAAUACCUAUUAAAUGUUUUAUGUUCGGUAUUAUGCCACUUGUUUUAAGUUAAAUGUUUUGUGGCUUGUUUGAUUUUAAAGCCAUUCAAAGAUGUGCGUGUCGUCUUAGGUGCAGCGAGCCAAUUGUUGGCGGCAGCGCAGGGCAACACCCACCCAACAGAUUUGUGAACCUUCUGGAAAUUGUUCACUUUGUGCUUCUGCACCUGCACAUCUCGUUCUUAAACUGAUAAUACUUUCACAAAAUCCAAUAUCACUGUUAAAAUGUCAUAUCCAAAAAAGACACAGCAAUACAAAGUCUUUAAACGCACUGCAGUUUGAUAUGUAUUUUGACUUUACAUCACAAGUCCUGAAAAAAAAACAGGAGGUAUCUGUGCACUAUACCUUGCGAUAAAGACCAACUAAAUGUUUAAACAUGAACCAAGUACAAAAAAUGGUAGUGUGGGAAGGCCACCGGCUGGGACACCGCAUAUGAUAAGAGCUUCCAUCUUGAGUCAGCCAUUUUACUACAGUACUAAUAAUCUUCUGGUCAUCCAGCCUACACAUGCUAACAGUAACACUGGUAUUUUUUAUUUAUUUUUACAAAAUGUACAAAGAUUUUUACUCAGUUUUGCUAAGUUUUGAUAAAAUUUUCAAUCUACAAAAAUCUACGAAUACACUGUUCACUAUGUAUGAAAACCUGAAAGGCACGUGCAUGCAAAGUGAUCGUAGAUCACAAAGCUAGAUCUCAUUUAAAAUUCAUGGUUUUGUGCAAAUUUUUUUUGAAAAAUGUCAAUAUAAUAACAAUAUUACACUGGUAAAUGCACCCUUCCCACAAAUUAGUUCUACCAUUUUUUGCCUGAAUUCUAAAGAAUUCAAUUGUGAUUCCCUAUCAAAAUUCAGAAAACCUUUUUUUUCUUUCUUUUUUUAAAAAAAAAAAAAGGAUUUACUCACACCCAAUGAGACAGCAUAUGAGAUGGGAGGGCACAGUGUAAAUGACCGUGUUGAACUGAAUUUUUACGUAUUGCUGUAAAUACUGUCUGAAUUCUUUGUACAGGACAAAUUGACAAAAUUGGCCGAAUUGUUUCCAAUUCCUUUAUUGUUAGAAAGUUUUCUUAAUUUGUUUAUUUACAUACUGAUAAACAGAGGCACCGGUAUCCUUUGAACUUGUAGCAUUGAAGCCUGCAGGUUGAUGAAAUAACACUAGACGUUACAAAAAAGAUAAAAACUAACCAAAACACAGACUAACAACUCAGAAAUAACUAGUAAGGAGAUGCUCAAGAAUCAUUUGAUCAUCUUUUACUGUUAAAAGCAGGUUGAUGAAUUUACAACAAUACCCCCCCCCCAAAAAAAAAAAAAAAAAAAAAAAAAAAAAAAAAUAAAAAAAAAAAUACGAAUUCAAAAUAAAACCUAAGAGUUCUACUUUGUAAAAUCUUGAUUUAAGCACACGCGGUAUGUUAGCGUACAUCAUUCUGUGAAAUAGAUGUGUUAGCUUAUUAACCUGAACUCCUUAUGUCUCAUCCAGGGAAACUUUGGAAGAACUGUAUAAUAAUACAGGCUAUGUGAGAUAUACUUCUGAAAACAUAACCCUUCUAUACAGUGUCACACCUUUAACCAGGCCAAAUACACUCAGUGCUCUUUAACACGCACAUACUACAUUCCUUCUGUCCCGCUGGACAGAACUAGGGGAAAGAGGGAAAAGGGACAUGCUUUUUUCCCAUCUCUCUGUCUGUAUCUCUAUCUCAAUAAAUUAUCCUUAUGAUCGAAGCUCUCUCAAGAAAAAAAAGCAAUGGUUAAACAGGAAGAAGUGACCUGCAGGGUGGAACGCCUAUCAGGCAGGCUGUAGAUAGAUCAAUGAAGGGGGGCCAUGUGCUGCUCUACAGUCAGAGAGAUAGGGUGGGAUUUCACAGGCGAGCAGCACAUGCUCUCACCACUCUGAGAGCUGAAAGACAUAUAGUGCACAUGUGUGGAUGCGUGUGUGUUUGCAGUAGAAAGCCCUGGCGUCUUGGGACUAUCGCUUUUGAGGAAAAAACAAGACAAUAUGAUGACAGAGGGGGGUCCCAGGCCACUACCACUGCCAAAGAAGCUGUUCUACUUUUUCAAUUGUUUUUUCCCCUCUCGCCCUCUGCCCCUGGUGGGAAAGUAUUUAGGACUUUAGGUCUGUGACAAAUAAAAAUGUCAUCCCUGCUCAAGUCUGCCGUGAUUGUUUGUGGGCAAACUGGUGCUUGGAGGUCUUGAGAUGUUGCCUUACAGUGAGAGGAGAUGCUGGGAAUGGCUCCAUCCUUGGUCAAGCCCAAGUUCUGGAACACCGCUGGCCUUUUCUUAACAAUACCACUUGCUGCACAGGGGGUCCCUUCGAAACCAGAGCUCAAACAAAUUCACAUAGAAACACCAUUGUACAGUAAAAGCCUUUUGAAUACGACCACCAACUGACGCAUCUCAUCUCAGUUUAAGGGGGGAGGAGAGUGUCUGGAGAAAAGUGACUCAAAAACAAGUAACAAUGAAAAGGAACUGUGUAUGAGGAGGAAAUGUGUAUAUUUGGAAUAGUGGAAAAAUACACACACACACACACAAAAAAGAAAUGCCAUUUUUUUUUUUUUUUUUACUAAACCAACUGCGCUUUUGGAAAAUAGCAGUAUACGUAAAGCAUGCAUCACUAGAGAGUUGAUGGGAGGGGCACAUUUUUGUUUUGAAAUGACCAAUUUUGAAAUACGACGUAAUAUAGGAAAGUGGAUUAGGCUAAAACUGUACUGUUUUCUUGCUUUGUUAUGUUAAAAAAGAGCCAUGUUCACACCUAUGCAAAAUCUUUCUGUCGGAAAAUAUUCACAGAGCACAAAGCAUGGAGCAAAACACUUUAGAAAAUAAUUGUAACUUGGCAUCGGAUGUUCAGCUUAUCAGUUAAGCAUAAAAACUACAAAAAAAUCAUCUCACUUUUUGCAAGCAUAUUUAUAGAGCCAAGGGCAAAUGUUGUUCCACCUUUUAACCUUUUUAUUUCUGACAUGGGCUGUUUCUGGCAUUGACCUAGUUUUGACUAUCGAAAAUUUCUUGAUUGAGUGAGCUUUGCAAUUACAACACACACCAGAUUUCUUUAUUUUGAAAGAUUUAUUUGAUAUUUAUUUAUUUUCUUAUAGUUUCUUUGGUAAUUAACAAGAAUUUGUGCUGUGAACCUUAAAUUAGUGAACAGCACAAAUGAGGCAACGAAUGUUCGUCAAGGUUUUUCAACAGUCAGAUUGAUCUUUUUUUUUUUUUCUAAUGAAAGAUCAUAAAAACUACAAUAAAAUGCUAUAGAUUUUUAAUCUACAACCCUAAUUUGUAUUCAUUUUGGGGGUGUGUUCAAUUAAAGAACAAAACCGUAAAUUGCAGGUUUUGAAGUGCUCGUGUUUUCCACAUUUCACAUCACAUUUCUUUGGCGGGUAUCAGGUGUUUAGUAGUAAACCACUUUUUCAGCAGUAGUUGAAAUGCUCAGUAUACAACUCCCACAAAAGCUAAGCCCCUCAUGCUUUGUAAAAGGUCUGCUAGUUUUGGGAAGAACUGGCCUUUGAUCUGGCCUACACGACUUAGUCUAGCAAACACACAACAGCUACACUCUCUCUCUCUCUCUCUCUCUCUCUCUCUCUCUCUCUCCCUCCCUCCCUCUUUCCAUCUCCCUCACUCCUUUCUUCCGUCUUUCUCAAUUUGUUGCAGUAUUCAGGGGUGUCAACGGACCCGAGCUGUGACUCUAAAGAAGAGACGGCGAGUGGGACAUACACAUCGGACGCUCUGACAAUGCCGGCUCAGGUUCCUGUGAGUUUGCCAUGGCGACCAGUGGGCCCUGACAGCAGCGGGGAUCAUGGUCUUGCAGAGGAAGGGUGUGUGUGUAGUUGAGGGGGUGUGGGGUUAUUGGGGGACACACGCCAGAUGCCUUGGGGAGACGCCCUUCAGCUCACCAGCUGGGAGAGGCUAAACUGCCCCUCACGUGAUUGUUUUUGGACUUUAACGGAUUUUAGUGUUUGUUUAUGGUACACUUCGGCUAUCAUAAAGUCACAAACACAAAAAAAGAUCAUAUAAAACAGACCUUAAUUGGUUUUACAUUGGACAUUAUGUGGCAGUGAUAUGAGUACUAGUGUACAGAAAAAAAAAGUUCUUAAGUAACCAUCAAAUCAAAACUGACAGUUCGUAUUAAUGGAAUAUUGGAGUGUUUACUAGAAAUUAAAUUAAUUAAUUAGUAUUAUAAAUACUUCCUCUUACACUCUUUGGUAAAGAUUAAUAAACAGGGUUUUGACAGCGAUGCCAUAGAAUAACUAUUUUGGUUCCCCAAAGAACCUUUCAGCAAAAUUUUCUUUAAGGAAUCAUUUUAUUUUUUACUUAGUAUAAAAACAUUUUAAAAGUCCAAAGAUCCUUUUUCUGCUAUAAAUAACUGUUUGUGGAAUAGAUAGUUUCCAUGGACAUUAAAAUUUCUUCAUGGAACUAUAGAUGCCAAUUAGGAACUUUAAUUUUUAGGAACAAAUGGAUGCCAAAGGUUCUUUUAAUGGAAGCAUCAAUGCCAACAAAGAACUUUUGAAACAAUAUUUCCAUCCCCCCCAGCAACCUCUGAUUUACGAGAUUACAAACAAAAAUUAUCUAAUCAGUGCCCGAAGGGCGAAAACAAGUCCUGCCCCAAUUCUUUUUUUUUUUCUCAUUCGAGAAGCCAUUUUUUUUGGAUAUACGUCACAAAAGGAAAGAAAAGAUGCUUGCGACUCACAUUUCAUGCUGACUUUAAAAUCAAACAUUCACAUUUAUUAAUGUUAGCCUAAACAAUGUGCUAAAUGACAUACGUAGAAUGAAUAAGAAAAUUGUUUACCACAUUUGAUAAAUUCAAUAGUUUUACGCUCCCAACAUAUAAUAAUUCACACUAAUGAAACACAUUGCCAGUGCAAACCAUGUUCAUUUUGUAAACUAUAUUUAAUAUAAUCUGCAAUGUGUUUAUUUUACCUUGCAAAAUUUCAUUCAUGGUCCUCGAAGAUAAGGGCAUGUCAUGCAAACUGUCCAUGUUAGCAUAUCUACCAAAAUACUGCUCAGUUUGAUUUUGAAGACAGCAUGAAAUAAAAAUUUUCCCUAUGUACAAAUUAUCGAUCUUAUAUUGCAUUUUUCCCUCAUUUUUUAUUUGAUCUCAAAAAUUAGAAUGUCACAAUGUAACCAUGGUAAUGUAUGCCUGUCUUCUCAAAUCAUUCCUUACACUUAAACACAGCCCUUUUCCUACAACAUUCUGCAAGCUCACAUUCAAAUCUGCCUCCAAUCUAAGCCCUAUUUUUGACUUGACUUGACUUGACUGUACUGUACAUCACAAUGCUGAAGAUCUGUUGCUACUUCUGUUUCAUUGUGACUUUAAUAUUUUAUAAGCAAAUGUAUUUUGCAUUUAGCAUUGUUUUUCUGUGCCUCAUGUGAUCAAAUUUUAUGGGUCAUAACCCAUCAUUUGAGAACCACUGAUGCUCAGUUUAAACCCAACUUCUUUGUUAUUGACUAGCAUUAGAACAAAAAGCUAAAGAUGAGAUGGACUGACUGGGUAAUCUCUGCAGGCAACUGUGAUGUGAUUACAUUCUCACAUUGACCUGUAGGGGUUGAGUAGUCUGUUUACACCCAAAACCUAUGACAAAACUACCUCAGCUGCACCUGAACCUGACUUUUACUUAAGUACAUCUGUGCUAAUCUCAAUGCUAAAUUGCUAAUCUGUUGUUUGUAAUAUCCGCUUCAGUUUACACCAGGAUGAUCAAACGCACAUCUUAUAUUGAAACGAGGAGCUAAAAUAUUUUGUAAUGUGUUACCAUCUCUGGGACGUGAACAUCUACCCGCCCCCUGCUGGAGGACUCUGGUAUUGUGAGGCUGAUUUUUGGCAUAAUCUCAGCUGGCAACUGUGAGUAGUGUGUUACCCCUCUCACAGGCGCUGCUGGGGUUCUGUCACACACAGCAAGUGCACACCAUGACAAAAUAACAUUGGUCUCCAUCGGAUAAAAGAGAGCAACCAGUGGAAAAGAAGUCAUAGUAUUAUGCUGAAAUCAGUGGCAAGGCUGAGAUUUAAAUGUUGAAAGUGUUUGUUAUUCAUUCAUAAGAUUAACUCACUGACUUCUUCACCCAUCCCUAACUACAAUCCAUCCAUCACCUAUGAGAACUUCUGAUGUGUGAGAACUUUCUGAUGUUGGUGAUACUGCAUCAGGAACUGAUUGGAUGAUAUCUAGGAGCCAUCAGUUCUUGAUGCACGCCCUUCAGCAUCGAAAGAUACACCCGUGAGUCUUUUAAUUUUACAAUCCAGUACAUGGAUGUCAGUGGACAGUAAGACAGAUGAUACUGGAAUUGUUUUGAACAGUUUAUUUAGAUACUAAAGAUACAGAAUGUAAUUACUUCUCUGCUAGUGGCAACAAACAUACUAUUUAUAUAUAUAAUUUAUAUUAUUAUACAUAAUCUGUUUGUUUGAGCAGCCAGAUAUAGUAACAUUGCUGUAUUAUUGCUGUGGUUAUUUUUCUAACUUGUAGCACUGGUUAAACACAUCAUGCAAUGCAUUUUUCAUAACUUUUUCCACUGUUUUCAAUAAAGUUAUAACAUUUUUUUUUUU